GCGAGUAUGGCGGAAUCGGCAGACGCGCCGGAUUCAAAACCCGGUUCUUAACGGAGUGUGAGUUCGACUCUCACUACUCGCACCA
rnacentral:tRNA from 1 species